UUGCUCUAGGUGUUUAUGACGUUUACUUGUGU
rnacentral:piRNA from 1 species